CCAGCAGCUGCGGUAAUUCCAGCUCCAAUAGCGUAUAUUUAAGUUGUUGCAGUUAAAAAGCUCGUAGUUGGAUUUCGGGCGGGUGACGGCGGUCCGCCUCUGGUGUGCACUGCUGCUCAUCCGCCUUACUGUCGGGGACGGGCUCCUGGGCUUCACUGUCCGGGACUCGGAGUCGGCGCUGUUACUUUGAGUAAAUUAGAGUGUUCAAAGCAGGCCUACGCUCUGAAUACAUUAGCAUGGAAUAACACGAUAGGACUCUGGCCUAUCCUGUUGGUCUGUAGGACCGGAGUAAUGAUUAAGAGGGACAGUCGGGGGCAUUCGUAUUUCGAUGUCAGAGGUGAAAUUCUUGGAUUUUCGAAAGACGAACUACUGCGAAAGCAUUUGCCAAGGAUGUUUUCAUUAAUCAAGAACGAAAGU
rnacentral:rRNA from 1 species